AUAUUAGUUACAAAUCAAGAAUCACGCAUGCACAAAUCCAAAGUUAUGCACGAAUCAAGAAUUAUGGAUGCACCAAUCAUAUAUACGCACACACAGAUCCUAAUUUACACACAAAUCAAGAAUCACGCACGCACAAAUCAUAGUGAGUCUAUUUUCUCUCCAUACAGGUGUGUUUUAAACACUCCUGUUCUAAAGAGUUCCAACAUUUUUCAAGCAUCUUUUCAAAAUAAAAGCAGAUCUGAAGGCUAACGUUUAGCUUAGCCUGAAGAGUUUCCACUGUAACUUUAUUGACAAACCGUCUGAACACGAGGAGGAGGAGGAUGCAGAUGCUUCAUCCUUCAGGACGUCUGUCUGCAGGCUCUGGGACCCAGGAGCAUCCCGUCAGGAGGACGCUUUCUCCCAUCAGCCCCGGCUCAGGACCUGCGUGUGAAGCGGCUCCCCAGAGGCCCGCCCCCUCCAGGAGCCGACAGGCGUCUGUCCAGACCAGGACGCCUGCGGCAGGUGAGCGUCUGAAGGUCGUCGGAGGUCGUCUGUCGGGUGGAGCGUCUCUCACUCACGCUCUGCUGCCCUCAGGACUCAAACCCCCGACCGCCACCUCCGUCAACCCGCCUGCAGCCAGGGCGCCCCCUGCUGGCGGUCAGACGAAGCUGAGCGCCUCGUUCCAGCGAAGCGGGUCGGCUCGGUUCUGUCGGCUCGGCGGCGCAGUGGACAGGAACCAGCCCCGGGAGGGGUCCCGACCCGCCAGAGCCCAGAUCUGCUCGACUGCAGCAGGAAACCAUCAGAACCACCAGAACCAGCCUCUGGAGCCGGUACGUCUUCAGAGUUUUAUUGAUCUGUGGUUUAUACGUCUGGUCUCAUCCACUCGGAUCUGA
rnacentral:lncRNA from 1 species